rnacentral:rRNA from 1 species
ACGAACGCUGGCGGCAUGCCUAACACAUGCAAGUCGAACGAGACCUUCGGGUCUAGUGGCGCACGGGUGCGUAACGCGUGGGAAUCUGCCCUUUGGUUCGGAAUAACUUCGGGAAACUGAGGCUAAUACCGGAUGCGCACUUCAGUCGAAAGAUUUAUCGCCCAAGGAUGAGCCCGCGUAGGAUUAGCUAGUUGGUGAGGUAACGGCUCACCAAGGCGACGAUCCUUAGCUGGUCUGAGAGGAUGAUCAGCCACACUGGGACUGAGACACGGCCCAGACUCCUACGGGAGGCAGCAGUGGGGAAUAUUGGACAAUGGGCGAAAGCCUGAUCCAGCAAUGCCGCGUGAGUGAUGAAGGCCUUAGGGUUGUAAAGCUCUUU